UACGUAGGGUGCAAGCGUUAAUCGGAAUUACUGGGCGUAAAGCGUGCGCAGGCGGUUGUGCAAGACAGGUGGGAAAUCCCCGGGCUUAACCUGGGAACUGCAUUUGUGACUGCACGGCUAGAGUGUGUCAGAGGGGGGUAGAAUUCCACGUGUAGCAGUGAAAUGCGUAGAUAUGUGGAGGAAUACCGAUGGCGAAGGCAGCCCCCUGGGAUAACACUGACGCUCAUGCACGAAAGCGUGGGGAGCAAACAGG
rnacentral:rRNA from 1 species